GGCAGGGCUGGACUCCGCCCCCCAAGCAUCUGAGCACCUCAAGGCUGGGUCCACCCACGUCUCCCAACAGCCGUGGAACCCAGAAGGGAGACUGAGUUUCUGCUGCAGCCUGAUACCUGAAAGAUAAGAGACUUCUAUCAAACAGGCUGCCAGCUUUAGAAGACUACCUAGCAGCAAAGUACCUCCAAGGCUUUCACAAAGGCUUUAACUUUUAAGAAUGUUUCUCAAAUGCAUCUUCAACAUUUAUAUCAAAAAAUUCCUACAUGCUCAUUCAGAUAGAAAGAAAAACUAAACAGUGAGAUGCAUUUUAUGACCUGUCAGAUGAGUAAAGAUAAAAGAGCAAAAUCAAAGUGAUGAUGAAAAAAAAAAAAAGGCUCAUAUAUGAGAA